GAUGAACGCUGGCGGCGUGCCUAAUACAUGCAAGUCGAGCGAACAGGCGAGGAGCUUGCUCCUUUGAUGUUAGCGGCGGACGGGUGAGUAACACGUAGGUAACCUACCUAUAAGACUGGGAUAACUUCGGGAAACCGGAGCUAAUACCGGAUAAUAUUUCGAACCGCAUGGUUCGAUAGUGAAAGAUGGCUUUGCUAUCACUUAUAGAUGGACCUGCGCCGUAUUAGCUAGUUGGUAAGGUAACGGCUUACCAAGGCAACGAUACGUAGCCGACCUGAGAGGGUGCUCGGCCACACUGGAACUGAGACACGGUCCAGACUCCUACGGGAGGCAGCAGUAGGGAAUCUUCCGCAAUGGGCGAAAGCCUGACGGAGCAACGCCGCGUGAGUGAUGAAGGUCUUCGGAUCGUAAAACUCUGUUAUUAGGGAAGAACAAACGUGUAAGUAACUGUGCACGUCUUGACGGUACCUAAUCAGAAAGCCACGGCUAACUACGUG
rnacentral:rRNA from 1 species